rnacentral:rRNA from 1 species
CGGCGGACGGGUGAGUAACACGUGGGCAACCUGCCUGUAAGACUGGGAUAACCCCGGGAAACCGGGGCUAAUACCGGAUAAUACUUUCUUUUGCAUAAAGGAAAGUUGAAAGGCGGCUUCGGCUGUCACUUACAGAUGGGCCCGCGGCGCAUUAGCUAGUUGGUGAGGUAACGGCUCACCAAGGCGACGAUGCGUAGCCGACCUGAGAGGGUGAUCGGCCACACUGGGACUGAGACACGGCCCAGACUCCUACGGGAGGCAGCAGUAGGGAAUCUUCCGCAAUGGACGAAAGUCUGACGGAGCAACGCCGCGUGAGUGAUGAAGGUUUUCGGAUCGUAAAACUCUGUUGUUAGGGAAGAACAAGUUGGAUAGUAACUGACCCAACCUUGACGGUACCUAACCAGAAAGCCACGGCUAACUACGUGCCAGCAGCCGCGGUAAUACGUAGGUGGCAAGCGUUGUCCGGAAUUAUUGGGCGUAAAGCGCUCGCAGGCGGUCCUUUAAGUCUGAUGUGAAAUCUCGCGGCUCAACCGCGAACGGUCAUUGGAAACUGGAGGACUUGAGUACAGAAGAGGAGAGUGGAAUUCCACGUGUAGCGGUGAAAUGCGUAGAGAUGUGGAGGAACACCAGUGGCGAAGGCGACUCUCUGGUCUGUAACUGACGCUGAGGAGCGAAAGCGUGGGGAGCGAACAGGAUUAGAUACCCUGGUAGUCCACGCCGUAAACGAUGAGUGCUAGGUGUUAGGGGGUUUCCGCCCCUUAGUGCUGAAGUUAACGCAUUAAGCACUCCGCCUGGGGAGUACGGCCGCAAGGCUGAAACUCAAA